UGAUAUUUGUAGUCUUUUUGUUUGAAAAGAAAUAUGUAUCACAAGUUAUGCUUUCCUAAACAGGCAUCUAUAAAUGACCAAGAAUCUAACACAAUACAUGAUUGAGCACAUGUGGUAGAACGUGAAGACUGAAAGAGAGCAAGGCAAAAACAAGAGCAUAGAUUGGAAUCUCAGUCUCAGAGAAAAAAGAAAGGAGAUAAAGAGAGUUA
rnacentral:misc_RNA from 1 species